AGUCAGGCCCCACCCUGGACAUGCCAGUUCCCUCCAGCUUCAAUGACAUCAGCCAGGACUGGCGUCUGCGGCAUUUUGUCGGCUGGGUGUGGUACGAACGGGAGGUGAUCCUGCCGGAGCGAUGGACCCAGGACCUGCACACAAGAGUGGUGCUGAGGAUUGGCAGUGCCCACUCCUAUGCCAUCGUGAUCCGAGGGAAGGGCUUCGACUGGCCGCUGCUGGUGAAGGACUUCAACCUGCUUCGCUGGCUUGGUGCCAACGCCUUCCGUACCAGCCACUACCCCUACGCGGAGGAAGUGCUGCAGAUGUGUGACCGCCAUGGGAUUGUGGUCAUCGAUGAGUGUCCCGGCGUGGGCCUGGCGCUGCCGCAGUUCUUCAACAACGUGUCUCUGCAUCACCACAUGCGGGUGAUGGAGGAAGUGGUGCGUAGGGACAAGAACCACCCCGCGGUU
rnacentral:sRNA from 1 species